ACAUUGUUUCACUUUCUCAAUUUAUCAAGCAUGGAAACUGGGUUCGCUCUUAGCUGUGCAUUCAAUUUUCAGCCAAAUUUACUCCUUGCAGGAAAAUUGUUUGCUUUUGGGGGAUGAAUGAAAUUUCUCGAAACGGGUUGGCAUCCGCAUGCCCUAGAAAUUUGCGAAUCGCCCUCGUUUGUCAAACACAGUUCUACUGGCAGAAUCCUUCUGUGGACCGUAACCACGGAUUACAAAGAUCAAUUGACGCUCUGGUUAGGUAGAUUGGGACCAAGGCUGCAAAUGCAAUGGCCCGUUGUGUCGUGGAAGGAGGCUGCCCCAGCGAUUCCAUAGCUAUUGUCAUAUCCCUCCUGUCAUUCAUAUUGCAUUGAUUAAAAGGCCUCAAGCAAUUCUUUGAAGAUUUUCUUUGGAAGGGUAAUGACUGGAAUACAAGAGGAUGCAAGUCCUUGCAGUGUGGUUUGGGUCCAAAGCUCAUUGCAGAUUAGAGCCAGGUUUUAGCCUUGAGCAUGCUGUGGAAUAUCCAUGUUUCUGAGUUCGUUCUUUGGGUUAACUGAGUCCAUGCUUAUAACCUGAGGGGCAGGAGCAUAUGGGUCAUUAAACCUCCAAACAAAUGUACUGGAAUUGGAGAAGGAUUUUGAAAUCUAGACCAAUUUCUUGUACCUGCUUUAAAAAUCAUUUUGGCAAUCGCAAAGA